AGGGGGCGCUGCAGCCCAAAUAGGCCUUCUUCCCCAACCCCUAGAACAUCCCUAAUCCAAGAAGGAUGGUGAACAGACAUCUACAGAAAGCUGGAGCAUCUGCUCUCCUUUUCUUGUCACAGAGAACUGGAACAAAUAAAAACAGUGCCACCGUUACAUAAAAGCUCUUGUUACUAACGUGGGUUAAGGAGUCUGCAGGCAGGGCUUGCCCCCACCUCAGUGUAGGUAACUGCUGAGGCCAACCAGCUGAGAGAAUUCCGGGUGCCGUCCAAGCAGCUGUUAGACACGCUGGCAGGCACCAGGGUCACCCUACAUAAGGCCUUUACUGAAUGAAGCAAGUCAGCCAUAGUCACCUCCAGGCCUGACAAGAGGGGUGGGGAAGAGGUAAAGAUGGGUGGGGUUGGUCCCCUGGGGAGUGGCAGGAAGUGGCAGGAGAAGCAAGUUCUAGGGAAGAAUGUGCUGGUGGGAUGUUUUGGGGGGAAGCCGACUGUUGGGAGUGGUCCUGGGGGCUCCUGAGAAAUUGCUUGGUUCAUACUUUCUGUUGUUUGUUAAAAAAGGUCAUCUUCAGGUUGGGUAUGGGAAAAGGAUCUGUAAACUUGUUAUGUCCCUAGAGAGCCCACGUUAUUCCAGAAAAGCUUAGCUCCUUCUACCCACACCACUCACCUUCUCAGGCAGCCCCCAGACUCUGGGAAUUCCUGUAACACUCCCUGCCCCGUCCACCAAGCCUGCUGCAGCCUGAACAAGUCAGGGGGUUCCUGCCCCGGAGACAGAGGGGAGCCAGGCCAGUCUACAGCCUAGAAGGAAUGGGCACGCCUGGGGCCCCAGAACUCCUGGCCCCCAGAGAGCUGCAGGACGCAAGCAUGAGAGCACUGUUUAUUCCAAAGCCGUUUUCUGUUUUAAGAGCCUCACAGCUGGGUCCAGGGCCAGGGUCCCAUUUCCAAAGUCGGUAUUUUUUUCCUUCUUUUUGCUGGACAAGGAGAAAUGGAAAAAACCAAUGUUGCUUUGGCCCUCACUCAGCUUCUUUUGAACUGAUUUUGCUGCCCCUGGCAGGAUCUGCCACCAGGGUGCAAGCCACGAAUGCGGGCCAUGGCAGAGAGAAUUCUCGGCUCUGACUGCCCUGCUGGGUCAUCUGAGGGGAAGACCCAUGGAACACAGGGAAGUCUGACUUGCACGACUCACCAAGGCCUGCUCUAAGUCAAAGACCCCUAAGAGCACUCUGGGCUCAGACCACUGCUACUCCUGACCCCAGGCCACAAGAGGGCCUAGUUCUCCAAACACACCUGCAGAUUGGAUACUGGAGACAGAGCUCCGUCUCUCAGUAGGUAGUAAUUAUUUAUAAAGCCCAGAAAAAUAUCCCAAAGUCAGAGCUAAAUGCCAAUACAACCAAUUCUCUGUUACCUCCCUUUUGCAAAAGGAGAUAACUAUAGUUUUUAUAUUUGCAUAUAGGAUGUGUCACACAUCAGCUUUACCCUCCUAAUUUUGCCCUUUCAAAAGCACACACCAUACACUGCUAGGUGAGUAGGACAGACACCCUAGCAAUGUGCACGGCUGGUAGAACCAAGUGAGGAGAAAGUCCAAGAUGCUCCAUCCCUCCCCUCUGCCACUCCCCUAGGACCACUCCCUCCCUCUCUAGAAAGCCUCUCCAACUAUCCAGCCCCCUGUGAUCUCCCCCACCUCCCAACUUCCUGCACCUACACUAUUAUCUAAAGGGAUUACAUUUUUAAAGCCAGCAGACAUUUAUCUGAUCUCAAAACGGACCGUUUAAAAUCAGGCCUAUUUCAGAAAAUCUGGGGCAACCAAUCGCCAUUACAUCACCUUUCAUAUUUCUUUCUGCCCCACAGCAAGCACGGUGACCAUAUUUUCCAUAGAAUCAGGACGCAUUAUCUGACAAGUGAUUUAUGGGCAGCCUCCAGGUGCAAAAAGGAGUCGGUGUUAUAAAAGUUUCAACAUCAAAAUAUUGGAACUCCAAGGAUAGCUGGAUGACUUUACUGGAAAAAGCACAUUUGGCACCACUCCCUGUAAGACUGUGAGUUACUCAAGAGGGGGAACUAGACAUUACACCUCUUUUGAAGUUCUCUCCAUACCCAGCAUGACUACUAAAUCCACUACUGAGUGGAUGGAUGGUUGGCUGAUCUCUCUUCUCUCCCAGCUCAAGUGUCAUUUCAGAGACACCUUUCUUGAUUUCCCAAAUGAGGUCAUGCUGUUGUUAUGUUCUCAUGGCA